rnacentral:rRNA from 1 species
CAGCCGCCGCGGUAAUACGGAGGGUGCAAGCGUUAAUCGGAAUUACUGGGCGUAAAGCGCACGCAGGCGGUUUGUUAAGUCAGAUGUGAAAUCCCCGAGCUUAACUUGGGAACUGCAUUUGAAACUGGCAAUCUAGAGUCUUGUAGAGGGGGGUAGAAUUCCAGGUGUAGCGGUGAAAUGCGUAGAUAUCUGGAGGAAUACCAGUGCCGAAGGCGGCCCCCUGGACAAAGACUGACGCUCAGGUGCGAAAGCGUGGGGAGCAAACGGGAUUAGAUACCCCUGUAGUCCCUGUCUCUUAUAC